rnacentral:lncRNA from 1 species
CUGCGAACUACGAGAUGCAGUCAGAGCAGGUGAGAAGGAUAAAAGUGUAUCUACAAAUGGAAGAAACACUACCUGGUAUUAUGUACCAUCCUGUGAGGGUCAGGAGCCGUGAGAAGGAUUUAUGAACCAGGAAACUGGAAGUGAAAGCAAAUACUGCCAGCCUGCAGUGUGGUAUGGAGGCUGAAAGAAAACACCUUUCCCAGAGAGGAGGACCCAAAGAGCUCAUUGUUGCUGUAAACCACAAGAGCUCUGUUUUAAAGUGAUUUUCCGUCUUCGUGGUUGCUGGAGCUGGGCUGAGGCAGAGGUGACCAUCAGAGAAGUUGUAUCCACCUUGGAGAGGGGAGCAGGAGCUGCCAAGUCACCCUGUCAGAAGCUCACUGCUCUGCUGAAAACGUGUCUGUGGGUGACAGCGACAAAGAGAAAUACACCUAGGGGACACCAUUUGAUCCAGAGCUGCUCCCUGCCAGGAAAGGCUGACUCUGGACUCAAAGAUGCUUGUUUUUAGAUUGAAAUACUAAGCUGGCAUCUACAUUGCAAUAGGCCAAAAGAGAGUAGGCUUGCUUUUUUGUGGGAGUGCUGGUGCUAAAGCCAGCAGUUUUCUUUUUUGCUAAGUCUGCAAAAGCAAUGACUAAUAUGGUCAAAGUCAAAGAAAUACUGUCAGUUUAGCAGAAGCUCUUUUUCUAAAGAUUUUGAAGUCUCACUUUUAAAAUCUGCAAGGAGAAGAGUUUCUUAUAUUGCACAGUUAAUACUGAAAACACUUUCCAUAGUAAGUUUGAUUUUUGGUUUCCUUCCCUGCCUCUUGCAAAUGUAAAUUGAAUAAAAAUGAAAGUGUAAACUCCA